rnacentral:rRNA from 1 species
CCUACGGGAGGCAGCAGUGGGGAAUAUUGGGCAAUGGGCGCAAGCCUGACCCAGCAACGCCGCGUGCAGGAAGAAGGCUUUCGGGUUGUAAACUUCUUUUAAGAGGUAAGAGAAGAAGACGGUACCUCUUGAAUAAGCCACAGCUAACUACGUGCCAGCAGCCGCGGUAAUACGUAGGUGGCAAGCGUUGUCCGGAUUUACUGGGUGUAAAGGGCGUGCAGCCGUGCUGAAAAGUCAGAUGUGAAAUCCCUCUGCUCAACCGCGGAACUGCAUUUGAAACUGUCAGUCUUGAGUACCGGAGAGGUAAGCGGAAUUCCUGGUGUAGCGGUGAAAUGCGUAGAUAUAAGGAAGAACACCAGUGGCGAAGGCGGAUGACUGGACGGCAACUGACGGUGAGGCGCGAAAGCGUGGGGAGCAAACAGGAUUAGAUACCCUAGUAGUC